rnacentral:rRNA from 1 species
UACGAAGGGGGCGAGCGUUGUUCGGAUUUACUGGGCGUAAAGGGCGCGCAGGCGGUCUUGAAAGUCAGGCGUGAAAGCCCCGGGCUUAACCUGGGAAUUGCGCUUGAUACUCUGAGACUGGAGUACGGGAGAGGAGAGUGGAAUUCCCAGUGUAGAGGUGAAAUUCGUAGAUAUCGGGAGGAACACCUGCGGUGUAGACGGCUUACUGGACCAUAACUGACGCUGAGGCACGAAAGCGUGGGUAGCAAACAGG